AGUCCCGGUGGUCCUUGACGUACCACCACUGGAUCUCCAAGGAGGAAGGCGAACCUGCCCCGCGGAAAGAGCACGCCAUCUCGACAUCUACGCCGCUCUGUGUCGAGACGUCGUGGGGUACUUCUGUGAAAAGAGCUGGGAAAACAAGUAGGACUUAUGUGGGAAUGUCCGAUGUACGCAAGUCGAUGAAAUGCUGAUUGGAGAGCGAGCUUGGUCCAUGACGAUGACUUCUGUUUUGUUUGAUCAUCCGUUUUACUGCUGUUGAGAAACAAUUAAGGCCAGUGGGAGAAAAGAGAAGACUCUGCCAUCAUCCCACCUACUCAACCUGGCAGAGUCACGUCCUUGAUGUAGUGCAACUCUCAGCCUGCCGGGGGUCUCCUUUGUCAGCGCGGGGGCGGCAGAGGAGGGCUCAGGUUUUUUUUUUUACACUGAAAAAACAGGACGACGAAAACGGCGUUUUAGAGGAGGCGGAGGGAUGGAGCUGAAGACAAGAAGGAUGGAGUCAAGCUAGAAAGCAUUUGAAAGGUGCCACUGGUGGUUAGAGGAUGGAUGAUGGAUGGAUGCACCAGGGAGAGGAGGGAAUGUAAGCAAGGCCCUGAUUGGUCGCAGUUCGGGUUGUCCCCAUAUCAAUAUGUUGGUACCGCUACCAAAAUAUAUUUCUAUACUUUUCUAAAUGAAACUACCACGAAAUACUGUCAUUAUUUUUAUUUGAAUAAAAAAUCUUAGGUUACAUGAAACAUAUGUUUAUUAUUGUAAUUUAGUCCUUAAAUAAAAUAGUGAACAUACUAGACAACUUGUCUUUUAGUAGUAAGUAAACAAACAAAGACUCCUAAUUAGUCUGCUGACGUAUGCAAUAACAUAUUGUGUCAUUUAUCUACCUUUUAUUUUGUCUACAUUAUGACGGACAAACUGUAAAAAUUGAUUAUUAAUCUACUUGUUCAUUUACUGUUAAUAUCUGCUAAUUUUCUGUUUUAACAUGUUCUAUCUACAUUUCUGUUGAAAUGUAAUAAUCACUUAUUUUUCUCUUUGAUAUUUUACAUUAGUUUUGGAUGAUACCACACAUUUAGGUAUCGAUCCGAUACCAAGUAGUUACAGGAUCAUACAUUGGUCAUAUUCAAAGUCCUCAUGUGUCCAGGGACGUAUUUCCUGAGUUUAUAAACAUAAUAUGAUUUUUUUUUUAAGAUUUUGUGACAAUAAAAAAUAUCGAUGUAAUCAUAGUAGUAUCGACUAGAUACGCUAUUGUACGUGGUAUCAUUACAGUGGAUGUCAGGUGUAGAUCCACCCAUGGCAUUUGUUUGCAUUGUGACGCCGGUGAGCUAUUGUGUCCUCCUACGGUGUGUAGUGAAGCAUGUUUAGCUAUUCCUCAUCCUCCAGUGAUAAUGCUACUUGUAAGAAAAUAUUAUUCAUUCAAAUAUGGGUUGAUGCAGUACUCUCGUCACACCAUAGGGGGCGACAGUAGGCAUACGUGUCACAAUGAAGCAGCAGGGGUGAGUAGAAGACUACUCAUUCAACCCUGGGAAAAAAUCGAAAUAAAUUGCAAAAAUCUGACUUUUAACAACGACUGGAAAACAAAGUAUGAAUGUUCAAGUGCUGGAGUCAUUGUUUCUUGUGGGACAUUUUAAGCGGUGCACACGUUGAUCCAGACAAGCAGCAACAUCGUGUAACUUCAUCACCAAACAUGAAAUAAAUAAAUAUUGUGCAUUACGAUAUUUAGUUUGUUUUGUAUUGACAUUUGUAUUCCUGGUUGUGUUUUUUGUCUGAGAGUAACAAUCAAACCUCGUUGAAUAAACGUAGUGCUAAAUUUGACCAGUAGAGGCCGACAACGCUAAUAGUGUUACGUCGCAUACAAUGUUUGGUGUGUGAAUGUUGUGUAAUUGCCAUAUGUGUAAACAUUUUUAGUUUAUUGUGUGAAUAUAUCAACACUGAACCAUGUAUUUUACUUCUGUAAAAUACACAAUGGACAUGCCAUUUUUGUUAUGUUUGUUUUAUGUUCACAUUUUCAGUCCUACAAACCUAAAUAAAUAAGGAAGCGUAAAGAAAUAAAACUGAGGAAGGAAAAUAAUUAAGGAACAUCCAUCCUUCUCUUUCUUCAUGCUGUUAACUAUCUGCACACGCUGGAAUCGAGUAGCGAGGGCAGAAUAAUGAUUUUUUUUUCUGACAGUGCAGUGUGAAAGCCGAUGUGUUUACUUUGCAAUGAAGUAAAUAAAUAUAACCUGCGC